rnacentral:rRNA from 1 species
UACGAAGGGGGCUAGCGUUGUUCGGAAUCACUGGGCGUAAAGGGCGCGUAGGCGGCCGAUCAAGUCGGGGGUGAAAGCCUGUGGCUUAACCACAGAAUGGCCUUCGAUACUGUUUGGCUUGAGACCGGAAGAGGUUAGUGGAACUGCGAGUGUAGAGGUGAAAUUCGUAGAUAUUCGCAAGAACACCAGUGGCGAAGGCGGCUGACUGGUCCGGUCCUGACGCUGAGGCGCGAAAGUGUGGGGAGCGAACAGG